rnacentral:rRNA from 1 species
GAUGAACGCUGGCGGCGUGCCUAAUACAUGCAAGUCGAGCGAACAGACGAGGAGCUUGCUCCUCUGACGUUAGCGGCGGACGGGUGGGUAACACGUGGAUAACCUACCUAUAAGACUGGGAUAACUUCGGGAAACCGGAGCUAAUACCGGAUAAUGUAUUGAACCGCAUGGUUCAAUAGUGAAAGACGGUUUUGCUGUCACUUAUAGAUGGAUCCGCGCCGCAUUAGCUAGUUGGUAAGGUAACGGCUUACCAAGGCAACGAUGCGUAGCCGACCUGAAAGGGUGAUCGGCCACACUGGAACUGAGACACGGUCCAGACUCCUACGGGAGGCAGCAGUAGGGAAUCUUCCGCAAUGGGCGAAAGCCUGACGGAGCAACGCCGCGUGAGUGAUGAAGGUCUUCGGAUCGUAAAACUCUGUUAUUAGGGAAGAACAAAUGUGUAAGUAACUAUGCACGUCUUGACGGUACCUAAUCAGAAAGCCACGGCUAACUACGUG